UGAUAUUGUUCCCUGUUGUCACCUCCU
rnacentral:piRNA from 1 species